GGCUCCUGUACUCCAGCUCGGCGAGAGGCACAGGCAGAGUCGACUGGGGAGUGGCAUCAGUCAACUCACCGUAGUGAAGACAUCACAGAGGAGGGGUGGAGACCCAGAGAGACAAAGGAUUCUCACCUUGUGCCAAAGCUAUAAAAAGGGCAUGGAGCAGGAUAAAGUGGCAGCCAGUCAUGAGAAAGCCCCUGCUUACCACCUAAGAUGUCUGCUGAAACUAACACCGACUGUACCAGGGGACAGGAUUGGGCCCAGACUAGGAAGGAGUCUAGUCUGUGAAAGAAGCUUAUUGGAACAACUCUGAGGGUUUCACACAGACCAGUGAACAGCCCCCAGAUACCACAGCUUUGUUACUGCCAACCUGGGCCAGAAUUCCAAAACUCUGGAUCUCUGAAGGUUCAAAAGGAUUUUUGCCAAUACUCUGUCAAUAGAAUUUGGGUAAUAAAUAUGAAUCAUAGGACUGGAAGGGACCUCAAGAGGUCAUCUAGUCCAGUCCCCUGCAGUCAUGGCAGGACUGAUUACACUGGUCUACAAUUUUUGAGAAAUCGUCUGCUUCAGAGAUAAAAUGUGCUAUUUAUUAUGUAUUUUGAU